AUAAGGAUCGGCUAACUCCGUGCCAGCAGCCCGCGGUAAUACGGAGGAUCCGAGCGUUAUCCGGGAAUCAUUGGGUUUAAAGGGUCCGUAGGCGGACCGUUAAGUCAGGGGUGAAAUUCUGCGGCUCAACCGUAGAACUGCCCUUUGAUACUGGCGGUCUUGAGUUAUAGUGAAGCAGCCAGAAUAUGUGGUGUAGCGGUGAAAUGCAUAGAUAUCACAUGGAAUACCGAUUGCGAAAGCAGGUUGCUAACUAUAUACUGACGCUGAUGGACGAAAGCGUGGGUAGCGAACAGGAUUAGAUACCCUGGUAGUCCACGCCGUAAACGAUGGAUACUAGCUGUCCGGCAGUAAUGCUGGGCGGCCCAGCGAAAGUGAUAAGUAUCCCACCCGGGGAGUACGUCCGCAAGGAUGAAACUCAAAGGAAUUGGCGGGGGCCCGCACAAGCGGUGGAGCAUGUGGUUUAAUUCGAUGAUACGCGAGGAACCUUACCAGGGCUUAAAUGCAGUGCGACAGAUUUGGAAACAGAUUUUUCUUCGGACGCAUUGCAAGGUGCUGCAUGGUUGUCGUCAGCUCGUGCCGUGAGGUGUCAGGUUAAGUCCUAUAACGAGCGCAACCCCUGCCGUUAGUUGCCAGCAUGUCAUGAUGGGGACUCUAACGGGGCUGCCGGUGCGAACCGUGAGGAAGGUGGGGAUGACGUCAAAUCAUCACGGCCCUUACGUCCUGGGCCACACACGUGCUACAAUGGCCGGUACAGAGAGCAGCCACGUCGUAAGGCGGAGCGAAUCUAUAAAACCGGUCACAGUUCGGAUCGGGGUCUGCAACUCGACCCCGUGAAGCUGGAAUCGCUAGUAAUCGGAUAUCAGCCAUGAUCCGGUGAAUACGUUCCCGGGCCUUGUACACACCGCCCGU
rnacentral:rRNA from 1 species